GACGAACGCUGGCGGCGUGCUUAACACAUGCCAGUCGAACGGAAAGGCCUCUUUCGGGGGGUACUCGAGUGGCGAACGGGUGAGUAACACGUGAGUAACCUGCCCUUGACUUUGGGAUAACUUCAGGAAACUGGGGCUAAUACCGGAUAGGAGCUCCUGCUGCAUGGUGGGGGUUGGAAAGUUUCGGCGGUUGGGGAUGGACUCGCGGCUUAUCAGCUUGUUGGUGGGGUAGUGGCUUACCAAGGCUUUGACGGGUAGCCGGCCUGAGAGGGUGACCGGCCACAUUGGGACUGAGAUACGGCCCAGACUCCUACGGGAGGCAGCAGUGGGGAAUAUUGCACAAUGGGUGGAAGCCUGAUGCAGCAACGCCGGGUGCGGGAUGACGGCCUUCGGGUUGUAAACCGCUUUCGCCCAAGAAGAAGCUUUGUGGGACGGUAGUGGGGAAAGAAGCACCGGCAAACUACGG
rnacentral:rRNA from 1 species